GUCGAGAAUCAUUCACAAUGGGGGAAACCCUGAUGCAGCGACGCCGCGUGAGUGAAGAAGUAUCUCGGUAUGUAAAGCUCUAUCAGCAGGAAAGAUAAUGACGGUACCUGACUAAGAAGCCCCGGCUAACUACGUGCCAGCAGCCGCGGUAAUACGUAGGGGGCAAGCGUUAUCCGGAUUUACUGGGUGUAAAGGGAGCGUAGACGGCAGCGCAAGUCUGGAGUGAAAUGCCGGGGCCCAACCCCGGAACUGCUUUGGAAACUGUGCGGCUCGAGUGCGGGAGAGGUAGGCGGAAUUCCUAGUGUAGCGGUGAAAUGCGUAGAUAUUAGGAGGAACACCAGUGGCGAAGGCGGCUUACUGGACCGUAACUGACGUUGAGGCUCGAAAGCGUGGGGAGCAAACAGGA
rnacentral:rRNA from 1 species